rnacentral:rRNA from 1 species
ACGGCUCAGUAACACGUAGAUAACCUACCCAAGAGUCCGGGAUAACCCCGGGAAACUGGGGAUAAUACCGGAUGGAUCACUAGUGCUGGAAUGCUUGGUGGUCGAAAGGUAACGCCUUUGGAUGGGUCUGCGGCGGAUUAGGUUGACGCCGGUGUAACGUACCGGCGUGCCUGUAAUCCGUACGGGUUGUGGGAGCAAGAGCCCGGAGAUGGAUUCUGAGACACGAAUCCAGGCCCUACGGGGCGCAGCAGGCGCGAAAACUCUACAAUGCAGGCAACUGCGAUAGGGGGACAUCGAGUGGCAUCCACCUUGGGUGCCUGUCCAACCGUCUAAAAAACGGUUGUUAGCAAGGGCCGGGUAAGACCGGUGCCAGCCGCCGCGGUAAUACCGGCGGCUCGAGUGGUGGCCGAUAUUAUUGAGUCUAAAGGGUCCGUAGCCGGCUUUGCAAGUCCCCUGGGAAAUCCAGCGGCUUAACCGUUGGGCUUUCAUGGGAUACUACAUUGCUUGGGACUGGGAGAGGUAGGAGGUACUCGGGGGGUAGGGGUGAAAUCCUGUAAUCCUCCGGGGACCACCGGUGGCGAAGGCGUCCUACCAGAACAGGUCCGACGGUGAGGGACGAAAGCUAGGGGCACGAACCGGAUUAGAUACCCGGGUAGUCCUAGCCGUAAACGAUGCCCGCUAGGUGUCACGACGGUCGUGAAUCGUCGUGGUGCCGUAGGGAAGCCGCGAAGCGGGCCACUUGGGAAGUACGGCCGCAAGGCUGAAACUUAAAGGAAUUGGCGGGGGAG